rnacentral:rRNA from 1 species
CUAUCCAUGGCCAGGUUGAAGGUGUGGUAACACACACUGGAGGACCGAACCGACUAGUGUUGCAAAAUUAGCGGAUGAGCUGUGGAUAGGGGUGAAAGGCUAAACAAAUCUGGAGAUAGCUGGUUCUCCCCGAAAACUAUUGAGGUAGUGCCUCGUGUAUGACUCCAGGGGGUAGAGCACUGUUAUGGCUAGGGGGACAUGGCGUCUUACCAAACCAUGGCAAACUCCGAAUACUUGGAAGUUUGAGCACGGGAGACAGAGCACCGGGUGCUAACGUCCGGACUCAAGAGGGAAACAACCCAGACCGCCGGCUAAGGUCCCUAAUAUUGACUAAGUGGAAAACGAAGUGGAAAGGCUAAGACAGUCAGGAAGUUGGCUUAGAAGCAGCCAUCCUUCAAAGAAAGCGUAAUAGCUCACUGAUCGAGUCUUUCUGCGCGGAAGAUGUAACGGGGCUAAGUCAAUAACCGAAGCCGCGGAUUCACACUUAUGUGUGAGUGGUAGGGGAGCGUUCUGUAAGCCUGCGAAGGUGACUCGUAAGGGUUGCUGGAGGUAUCAGAAGUGCGAAUGCUGACAUGAGUAACGUUAAAGCGGGUGAAAAGCCCGCUCGCCGUAAGCCCAAGGUUUCCUGCUCUACGUUCAUCGGAGCAGGGUGAGUCGGCCCCUAAGGUGAGGCUGAGAAGCGUAACUGAUGGGAACAAGGUUAAUAUUCCUUGACCACCGCUGAAUGCGAAGGGGGGACGGAGUAUUGAAGAUCAUCCGGGUGUUGGAUAUCCCGGUUUGCGAGCGUAGGAGGCUGACAGGCAAAUCCGUCAGCGAAUCUCCGAGGCGAAGCAUCGAGCUCUCUUUUGAGCGAAGUGAUUGGAUGUGCUUCCAGGAAAAGCCUCUAAGCUCCAGUUCAGCGGGACCGUACCGCAAACCGACACUGGUGGGCGAGCUGAAUAUGCUCAGGCGCUUGAGAGAACUCAGGAGAAGGAACUCGGCAAAUUGACACCGUAACUUCGGGAUAAGGUGUGCCUUUGUAGCGUGGAGGGAGAAACACCCCGAGCGCGAAGAGGUCUCAGAUAAUCGGUGGCUGCGACUGUUUAUUAAAAACACAGCACUCUGCAAAGACGAAAGUCGACGUAUAGGGUGUGAUGCCUGCCCGGUGCUGGAAGAUUAAUUGAUGGGGUGCAAGCUCCUGAUCGAAGUCCCAGUAAACGGCGGCCGUAACUAUAACGGUCCUAAGGUAGCGAAAUUCCUUGUC